rnacentral:rRNA from 1 species
UUAAGCGACUAAGCGUACACGGUGGAUGCCCUGGCAGUCAGAGGCGAUGAAGGACGUGCUAAUCUGCGAUAAGCGUCGGUAAGGUGAUAUGAACCGUUAUAGCCGACGAUUUCCGAAUGGGGAAACCCAGUGUGAUUCGUCACACUAUCGUUAAGUGAAUACAUAGCUUAACGAAGCGAACCGGGGGAACUGAAACAUCUAAGUACCCCGAGGAAAAGAAAUCAACCGAGAUUCCCCUAGUAGCGGCGAGCGAACGGGGAGCAGCCCAGAGUCUGAAUCAGCGUAUGUGUUAAUGGAACGGUCUGGAAAGUCCGGCGAUACAGGGUGAUAGCCCCGUACAUGAAAAUGCAUAUGUUGUGAACUCGAAGAGUAGGGCGGGACACGUGGUAUCCUGUCUGAAUAUGGGGGGACCAUCCUCCAAGGCUAAAUACUCCUGACUGACCGAUAGUGAACCAGUACCGUGAGGGAAAGGCGAAAAGAACCCCGGCGAGGGGAGUGAAAUAGAACCUGAAACCGUGUACGUACAAGCAGUGGGAGCACCCUUGUGGUGUGACUGCGUACCUUUUGUAUAAUGGGUCAGCGACUUAUAUUCUGUAGCAAGGUUAACCGUAUAGGGGAGCCGAAGGGAAACCGAGUCUUAACUGGGCGUUAAGUUGCAGGGUAUAGACCCGAAACCCGGUGAUCUAGCCAUGGGCAGGUUGAAGGUUGGGUAACACUAACUGGAGGACCGAACCGACUAAUGUUGAAAAAUUAGCGGAUGACUUGUGGCUGGGGGUGAAAGGCCAAUCAAACCGGGAGAUAGCUGGUUCUCCCCGAAAGCUAUUUAGGUAGCGCCUCGUGAAUUCAUCUUCGGGGGUAGAGCACUGUUUCGGCUAGGGGGUCAUCCCGACUUACCAACCCGAUGCAAACUACGAAUACCGAAGAAUGUUAUCACGGGAGACACACGGCGGGUGCUAACGUCCGUCGUGAAGAGGGAAACAACCCAGACCGCCAGCUAAGGUCCCAAAGUCACAGUUAAGUGGGAAACGAUGUGGGAAGGCUCAGACAGCCAGGAUGUUGGCUUAGAAGCAGCCAUCAUUUAAAGAAAGCGUAAUAGCUCACUGGUCGAGUCGGCCUGCGCGGAAGAUGUAACGGGGCUAAACUGUGCACCGAAGCUGCGGCAGCGACACUAUGUGUUGUUGGGUAGGGGAGCGUUCUGUAAGCCGUUGAAGGUGGCCUGUGAGGGUUGCUGGAGGUAUCAGAAGUGCGAAUGCUGACAUAAGUAACGAUAAUGCGGGUGAAAAACCCGCACGCCGGAAGACCAAGGGUUCCUGUCCAACGUUAAUCGGGGCAGGGUGAGUCGACCCCUAAGGCGAGGCCGAAAGGCGUAGUCGAUGGGAAACAGGUUAAUAUUCCUGUACUUGGUGUUACUGCGAAGGGGGACGGAGAAGGCUAUGUUAGCCGGGCGACGGUUGUCCCGGUUUAAGCAUGUAGGCGGAGAGUUUAGGUAAAUCCGGACUCUUACUAACGCUGAGGUGUGAUGACGAGGCACUACGGUGCUGAAGUAACAAAUGCCCUGCUUCCAGGAAAAGCUCUAAGCAUCAGGUAACAUCAAAUCGUACCCCAAACCGACACAGGUGUCAGGUAGAGAAUACCAAGGCGCUUGAGAGAACUCGGGUGAAGGAACUAGGCAAAAUGGUGCCGUAACUUCGGAGAAGGCACGCUGAUAUGUAGGUGAAGUGAUUUACCAUGGAGCUGAAAUCAGUCGAAGAUACCAGCUGGCUGCAACUGUUUAUUAAAAACACAGCACUGUGCAAACACGAAAGUGGACGUAUACGGUGUGACGCCUGCCCGGUGCCGGAAGGUUAAUUGAUGGGGUUAGCGGCAACGCGAAGCUCUUGAUCGAAGCCCCGGUAAACGGCGGCCGUAACUAUAACGGUCCUAAGGUAGCGAAAUUCCUUGUCGGGUAAGUUCCGA